rnacentral:rRNA from 1 species
AUUGAACGCUGGCGGCAGGCCUAACACAUGCAAGUCGAACGAGUGGCGGACGGGUGAGUAAUGUCUGGGAAACUGCCCGUUGGAGGGGGAUCACUACUGGAAACGGUAGCUAAUACCGCAUACCAUCGGAUGUGCCCAGAUGGGAUUAGCUAGUAGGUGGGGUAAUGGCUCACCUAGGCGACGAUCCCUAGCUGGUCUGAGAGGAUGACCAGCAACACGGGAACUGAGAAAGGGUACAGACGCCGAGGGGAUGCAGCAGGGGGGAAUAUGUCAAUAUGGGCGAAAGCCUGAGGCAGCCAUGCCGCGUGUAUGAAGAAGGCCUUCGGGUUGUAAAGUACUUUCAGCGAGGAGGCGUUACUCGCAGAAGAAGAACCGGCUAACUCCGUGCCAGCAGCCGCGUAAUUC